UUCAUUGUACGGGCAAACUUUGAUCCAGCCAUGUAUAACACAACGAACACAUAUUGGGAAAGAUUUCAUUUUGACAGUGAUUAAUAGUCGAGAUUUGUAUCACACGAUUGCUGCUCUCUCUGCUUCUUAAGUCUGUUACAAAAAGUUAGACAAUCGGUGAUUUGGUGUACAAAGGUUAGUUAUUUUCUGAAUUGAGCUUGGUUGAGAUUAAGAAGGCGUCCGCGGCUCCGAGAGUGUGUGUUUCUUCUGUGGUCUGCUACCUGAAUUGAUAAAGUACAAGCAAAUGUGGAUUUUUUGAGACACGAGCUCACUUUUGUGGGGGAUCCCGGAGAAAGUCGAUGCAUCACGAUUGACAGUUCAUGACUCAGCAG